UACAGAGGGUGCGAACGUUGUUCGGAAUCACUGGGCAUAAAGCGCACGUAGGCGGCACCGCAAGUGUGGAGUGAAAUCCCACGGCUUACCCGUGGAACUGCUUGGCAGACUGCGGUGCUAGAGGUUGGUAGGGGAGAGCGGAACUCUUGGUGGAGCGGUGAAAUGCGUAGAUAUCAAGAGGAACACCGGUGGCGAAGGCGGCUCUCUGGUCCAAUCCUGACGCUGAGGUGCGAAAGCUAGGGGAGCAAACGGG
rnacentral:rRNA from 1 species